GUACCCUCAAGCUUUGCUUGGUGAUGGGUGUUUGUCCUGUUCUCGCAACUGGACUCGCCUUAAAGUUAUUGGCAGCCGGCAUAUAGGCCUUUGGAGCGCAGCACAAUUUGCGAUCUAAGCCCUUAUUCUAGCAUCCAUUAAGCCAUUCUUAUCAC
rnacentral:misc_RNA from 1 species